AAUCGCCAGGGUAUCUAUGGCCGGGCUCAGGCGGCUGCUGGGGAGCCAGGAGACCGCGCGGGACGGCGGAUGAGGCGCGGCGGCUGCGGCCCAGGGCACCUCCCCUCUGGCUUCCCGAACCCGGCCAGGUCAGACCCGAGGGAGAGGAUGGAAACACCUGCCGCGCUCUGAGCCCCCCAGAAGAGAACACCCUUCCCGCCAUAUCACCCCACGGUCCUGCGGAGGCCACCGCCUGGUCCCCCCAAGUCUCCAUCGCGCAGCGUGGGGCCGAGAGGAAUAGUGAGCGAUGGCGGAAAACCUGAAAAGACUGGUCUCAAACGAAACUUUACGAACGUUGCAGGAAAAGCUAGACUUCUGGCUGAAGGAGUACAACACAAACACGUGUGAUCAAAAUCUAAACCAUUGCCUUGAACUCAUUGAGCAAGUUGCCAAGGUGCAGGGACAACUCUUUGGGAUCCUCACAGCAGCAGCCCAAGAAGGAGGACGUAAUGAUGGUGUGGAAACAAUCAAGUCACGCCUUUUGCCUUGGCUGGAGGCUUCCUUUACUGCUGCUUCCAUGGGAAAAUCUGUUGACAGCAAGGUCCCCUCUCUGCAGGACACGUUUGAUAGGGAGAGACAUAAAGAUCCCAGUCCUCGGGAUCGGGAUAUGCAACAGUUAGACUCUAAUUUGAACUCAACCCGGAGUCAACUCAACCAGGUUCAAGACGAUCUGGCUGAAACUGAAAAGAAUCUUGAAGAAAGCAAGAACAGAUCGGCCAUAUCCCUUUUGGCUGCAGAGGAGGAAAUAAAUCAGCUGAAAAAGCAGCUUAAAUCUCUUCAAGCUCAGGAGGAUGCCCGCCACAGAAACACAGAUCAGAGGAGCUCAGAGAAUAGGCGGUCAGAGCCUCGGAGCUUGGAGGAGCGGAAGUGUGAGCAGUGGAACUCACUCAAGCAGAAUGCAGACCAGCAGGACACAGAAGCCAUGUCCGAUUAUAAGAAACAGCUCCGAAACCUGAAGGAGGAGAUAGCUGUUCUGUCUGCUGAGAAAAGUGCACUCCAAGGAAGGUCCUCCAGGAGCCGGUCUCCCAGCCCUGCCCCUCGCAGCCGUAGCUGCAGCCGCAGCAGAUCUGCCAGCCCCUCCACCGCUGUCAAGGUCAGGAGCCCGUCCCCAAACCGCUCCAGGCUGUCCAAUGUGGCGCGCAAGGCUGCCCUCUUGUCCCGGUUCAGAGAUUCCUAUUCCCAGGCCCGCCUGGACGCGCAGUGCCUGCUGCGGCGCUGCAUCGACAAGGCUGAGACCGUUCAGCGGAUCAUCUACAUCGCCACAGUGGAGGCUUUCCAUGUAGCAAAAAUGGCAUUCAGACACUUCAAGAUCCGUGUGAGAAAAUCGUUGACACCAUCUUACGUGGGGUCGAAUGACUUUGAGAAUGCUGUCUUGGAUUAUGUCAUUUGUCAUCUUGAUCUAUAUGAUUCUCAAAGCAGUGUCAAUGAUGUGAUCCGAGCCAUGAAUGUCAAUCCCAAGAUUUCAUUCCCUCCUGUCGUUGACUUUUGCCUUCUCAGUGACUUCAUCCAGGAGAUAUGUUGCAUUGCCUUUGCAAUGCAGGCCUUAGAACCACCCCUAGAUAUUGCAUAUGGGGCAGAUGGAGAAGUUUUUAAUGAUUGCAAAUACCGCCGCAGCUACGACUCGGAUUUCACUGCUCCCUUAGUCCUCUAUCACGUGUGGCCUGCUCUCAUGGAGAAUGACUGUGUCAUUAUGAAGGGAGAAGCUGUCACCAGGAGAGGGGCUUUUGUACGGUGGCCUUGCAUAGUGACAAUUCAUCCCAAGUGUUUGAUUCACAAGUUCGAGAACAUUUAUAAACCCAGAGAUUCUAUAAAAGAUGUUUAUAAAGAGUUGAUAAGAUUUCAUACAAAGGAGAGGUCGGAGAUGAUCUCAAGAAGAACUG
rnacentral:sRNA from 1 species